rnacentral:rRNA from 1 species
AAAUAUCAAUAAGCGGAGGAAAAGAAACCAACAGGGAUUGCCUUAGUAACGGCGAGUGAAGCGGCAACAGCUCAAAUUUGAAAUCUGGCUCCGGCCCGAGUUGUAAUUUGCAGAGGAUGUCUUCUGGUGCGGUACCUACCGAGUUCCCUGGAACGGGACGCCAUAGAGGGUGAGAGCCCCGUCUGGUAGGCUACCAAACCUGUGUGAAGCUCCUUCAACGAGUCGAGUAGUUUGGGAAUGCUGCUCUAAAUGGGAGGUAAAUCUCUUCUAAAGCUAAAUACUGGCCAGAGACCGAUAGCGCACAAGUAGAGUGAUCGAAAGAUGAAAAGCACCUUGAAAAGGGGGUUAAACAGUACGUGAAAUUGUUGAAAGGGAAGCAUUUCUGACCAGUCGUGGGUCGUGUGGCUCACCCGGGGUUCUGCCCCGGUGCACUCCACGCGGCUCAGGCCAACAUCGGUUCUUGUUGGGGGAGAAGAACAGUGGGAAUGUGGCCCUCUUCGGAGGGUGUUAUAGCCCGCUGUACGAUGCCUUGACGGGGACCGAGGACCGCGCCUUCGGGCUAGGAUGUUGGCAUAAUGGUCAGUAAUGACCCGUCUUGAAACACGGACCAAGGAGUCGUCCAUUAGAGCGAGCGUUAGGGUGUCAAAACCCGGUACGCGUAAUGAAAGUGAAAUUUCAGGUGAGAGCUUCGGCGCAUCAUCGACCGAUCCUGACGUUUUCUGACGGAUUUGAGUAAGAGUUUUAACGGACGGACCCGAAAGACAGUGAACUAUGCUUGAAUAGGGUGAAGCCAGAGGAAACUCUGGUGGAGGCUCGCAGCGGUUCUGACGUGCAAAUCGAUCGUCAAAUUUGAGCAUGGGGGCGAAAGACUAAUCGAACUGUCUAGUAGCUGGUUACCGCGAAA